GCCAGUUUUGUCAGCCGGGGAUUGGUCCACCAGGGCCUCUCUUGGCCGCCACCUGAUCCACAAUGCACCGAACCCCUGACAUUCCCCUUGCGGGUGGUGGGUCCACCUGGGGACAAUCCCACGAACCUCUUUCAGACUGGGCCCGGCCGGGCCCCACGGGCCCUUCCCCCAGGCCUGGCUGGAGGAGCUGCUUUUUCUUCCUCUGCAAGACUAUGCUCUCCCGUUCCAAGCACUCGAUCUCAGCCUCCUUCUGCUUUGUCAGUUCUUUCUCUUCAUAAGCCUUCUUCACAGCCCGAGCAAACUUCAAGUUAUUCUCCUGAAGAGAUACCAAGAUGUGCUUUUCUUUAAGAAGCAUUAUUAGCAAUAAUAGACUCCUAUAAUCAAAGAAUUUGGAGCUGAGUUUGAUGAGGUACACUUGUUUUGUUCAGCUUCAGAUCAAUUUGCUGCUUAUACCAGUGAGUGUUACUGUUAAGUCCCCACUGUUAGUGUAACAUUGUUGCUGCAUCUCUUUAGCUACAUUCUCGAUAUUCUGCUACGGUGAUGCUUAUGGCCAGAGGAGCAGCAAUAGAACAGGCAGGGCAGGCAAUGGCCUGGGGCCCUGAACUGGGAGGGGCCCCUGGGGACAACCGAUUACAUAAAACAUUGCAAUGAAAAAUCUGCGUUAUUUCAGUGUUCUGUUUUUCACAAAAUUGAAAAUAAAGGUCUUGUGUUUAUUAAA